UUUAUCUUAGUGGCGGACGGGUGAGUAACGCGUGGGUAACCUGCCCUGUACAGGGGGAUAACACUUAGAAAUAGGUGCUAAAACCGCAUAAGCGCGCAGUACCGCAUGGUACAGUGUGAAAAACUCCGGUGGUACAGGAUGGACCCGCGUCUGAUUAGCUGGUUGGAGGGGUAACGGCCCACCAAGGCGACGAUCAGUAGCCGGCCUGAGAGGGUGAACGGCCACAUUGGGACUGAGACACGGCCCAAACUCCUACGGGAGGCAGCAG
rnacentral:rRNA from 1 species